UUCGGCGAGGGGGUGCAUAGAACUUUCCCGAGUCCGUAUAAAGGCCGGUGAUCCUCCAGCGCACGGCGUCACUUUGUGCGAGCUCUGUGCGCAGGUACCAGCAUAUCCGGAAAGGCCCGUCGUGCACCAAGCUUAUCGGUUACAUUGCUUUGCUGCUUCGUCACGCGAAGCCGUUCAAGAAGAAUAUGGGCCCCCUGGUGAAACUGUUUCUUCUAGCCGUUCUGACGGUGGCGUACGCACAGCAGGACUACGACAACUCUCCGCCCGAGCCGUACGAGUUCAAGUAUGACGUGAAGGACGAAGAGGGCAACACGCAGAUGCACGAACAGUCCAGCGAUGGCUCAGGCACUGUUCGCGGCUCGUAUGGAUACACGGACAAGGACGGACUGUUCCGCAUCGUCGAGUACAUCGCUGACGCUAACGGGUUCCGAGCCAUGAUCAAGACCAACGAGCCCGGAACCAAGUCCGGAGGAUCUGCUGACGCGCCCGUAGAGUCGUCCGCGCCUGAUCAAUAAGCUGAUGCCCCGGCAAAGCGCCGUGGGGGGGGGGGGGGGGGGUGUCGUUGAAAGGGUCAAGGAUAGAGGAGGCGGGGAGGGUUAGGCAUUAGAAUGAACAAGGGACGGGCAGUUCAUUUUGUCCCUCCACCUAAACCGCGGCGUGGCGCCGACUGCGUAGCCUUCAAUCUGAAAACAAGCGGAGCUCUAUUUCUCGCGGCCACCGGCUUUUACUGUGCUACCUGACGGGAAUGAAGCGUAGUAGUUUAUGCGUACGCGUUUCUCGGUUCGCCUAGCUAAACAAACAGAGAGAUACUCGUGUCUUGGGUGGGCGCGGGCUAAGCCUAACGCACGACGUUCUGGGAACCGGUUGCACUUGCUGCAAGUAACGCGUGAAGAGCAUUCGCUUGCGGUUCAGCGUGCUUCAAUCCGGACUGCAGGUACUCGCUCCGGUGCUUCGUCACCCAGCUGAGGUGGAGGGGCACCCGGUAGUAUCCAGUCCGUGUGUCGGUAAUAAAUGCUGGGUGGUAGACUUGCUGGGCGCCGAAGUUACCGAGCACUACCUCGUGUCGGAUGCGUUCGGAGCAGCGUUUAUCACCGAUGCACGCUAAAGGAGUGGUAGCAAAUUGAGCGCUUUAGCAGCACUAAGGUACAGCUUUUAAGGGCGGGACUCGCCUUUCUCCGUUGAACCUCAGUGCACUGUCACGUGCCUGGCGUUUCGCGUCCAAAUAUGAACGAGGCUUCUUAAUUUUCGAAGGAGCAGCCUGGACUUGCGUAGGGUUCACAUUUUCGUACAUGCUUGAAAGUGCGUUGGCUCCGUCUUCUUGCCGGUGUCGCGCUCCUUAAGACUGAGGCAGGUUUUCAAGCAGCCUGCUGCGAAGAGCUGGCGGAGUAACUAUCCGAAACGCUCGUCCGAUCACGAAAUGCAAAUGCUUUUCAACUUGGCAGGUUACAUUGAAUUGUUAGAGCGUUACAUUUGAAAAAAAAAAUGCUUGUUCGUCUUUCUGUUUUUGCUUGUAAGAUUUAAGCACUACUCCUAAACGGGUUUUAUUUCUCUUAUUUUUGUGCUACACAGCGCGCACAGCAAGAGGAAUUGUUAUGUGAUACACGAAGUUUGCCGUUGCGUGUGACUGCGACUGCUUUUUUUUUUGCUUCUAUUACUUUUACUUUCCGUGAACGAUCCGCGCGCAUUAACGCCGGUCUUCUACUGCCAAAUGCGACUAACCGGGACAAAGUGCAAGCUUUGCAGCUUUUUGUGUGCGUGAUGUGUGUUGUCCUCUCCUCAGUGUGGUUGCCGUCAAGAGAACUUUAUUUAUUUAUUGGCGCUUCUGUGAUGUCAGUGGAAGUAUACUAUGUCGCUUAGAUAUCUGUGAUGUGUGUGCCUUUAAUGAGAGAAACAAAAGAGCAGUUACUGUAGCAUUCCUGUAGUAGUAGUGCCUGCGUACUGGUUGUCGCUGUUGUGGUACGUGCUAAAGGGGUUCUUGCGGGCACAACUAUUUCUUCUGCAGGAUUCAUGAGCGUGAUCGCACCUGACGCUUCGAUUUGCUACAACAGUUUGCUUGCUUAUAUGUUACGACCGGUUAAAAACAACGUUCGCAUUACAGCAUUCCAACAUUCACCUUUUAUGUGAGAUUAACUUUGCUUUCGUUCGUUUUGUCGUGGUACUUAGUUUUCAGUGCGCCUUUGGCGAAGCAGUGUUCUGUUCUUGAGCCUGUUAGUACACUUAAUAAAACCUUAUUUUCGGAAUGCC